rnacentral:rRNA from 1 species
GGGUUGUGAGGUUAAGCGACUAAGCGUACACGGUGGAUGCCCUGGCAGUCAGAGGCGAUGAAGGACGUGCUAAUCUGCGAUAAGCGUCGGUAAGGUGAUAUGAACCGUUAUAACCGGCGAUUUCCGAAUGGGGAAACCCAGUGUGAUUCGUCACACUAUCAUUAACUGAAUCCAUAGGUUAAUGAGGCGAACCGGGGGAACUGAAACAUCUAAGUACCCCGAGGAAAAGAAAUCAACCGAGAUUCCCCCAGUAGCGGCGAGCGAACGGGGAGCAGCCCAGAGCCUGAAUCAGUGUGUGUGUUAGUGGAAGCGUCUGGAAAGGCGUGCGAUACAGGGUGACAGCCCCGUACACAAAAAUGCACAUAUUGUGAGCUCGAUGAGUAGGGCGGGACACGUGGUAUCCUGUCUGAAUAUGGGGGGACCAUCCUCCAAGGCUAAAUACUCCUGACUGACCGAUAGUGAACCAGUACCGUGAGGGAAAGGCGAAAAGAACCCCGGCGAGGGGAGUGAAAAAGAACCUGAAACCGUGUACGUACAAGCAGUGGGAGCACGCUUAGGCGUGUGACUGCGUACCUUUUGUAUAAUGGGUCAGCGACUUAUAUUCUGUAGCAAGGUUAACCGAAUAGGGGAGCCGAAGGGAAACCGAGUCUUAACUGGGCGUUAAGUUGCAGGGUAUAGACCCGAAACCCGGUGAUCUAGCCAUGGGCAGGUUGAAGGUUGGGUAACACUAACUGGAGGACCGAACCGACUAAUGUUGAAAAAUUAGCGGAUGACUUGUGGCUGGGGGUGAAAGGCCAAUCAAACCGGGAGAUAGCUGGUUCUCCCCGAAAGCUAUUUAGGUAGCGCCUCGUGAAUUCAUCUCCGGGGGUAGAGCACUGUUUCGGCAAGGGGGUCAUCCCGACUUACCAACCCGAUGCAAACUGCGAAUACCGGAGAAUGUUAUCACGGGAGACACACGGCGGGUGCUAACGUCCGUCGUGAAGAGGGAAACAACCCAGACCGCCAGCUAAGGUCCCAAAGUCAUGGUUAAGUGGGAAACGAUGUGGGAAGGCCCAGACAGCCAGGAUGUUGGCUUAGAAGCAGCCAUCAUUUAAAGAAAGCGUAAUAGCUCACUGGUCGAGUCGGCCUGCGCGGAAGAUGUAACGGGGCUAAACCAUGCACCGAAGCUGCGGCAGCGACGCUUAUGCGUUGUUGGGUAGGGGAGCGUUCUGUAAGCCUGCGAAGGUGUGCUGUGAGGCAUGCUGGAGGUAUCAGAAGUGCGAAUGCUGACAUAAGUAACGAUAAAGCGGGUGAAAAGCCCGCUCGCCGGAAGACCAAGGGUUCCUGUCCAACGUUAAUCGGGGCAGGGUGAGUCGACCCCUAAGGCGAGGCCGAAAGGCGUAGUCGAUGGGAAACAGGUUAAUAUUCCUGUACUUGGUGUUACUGCGAAGGGGGGACGGAGAAGGCUAUGUUGGCCGGGCGACGGUUGUCCCGGUUUAAGCGUGUAGGCUGGUUUUCCAGGCAAAUCCGGAAAAUCAAGGCUGAGGCGUGAUGACGAGGCACUACGGUGCUGAAGCAACAAAUGCCCUGCUUCCAGGAAAAGCCUCUAAGCAUCAGGUAACAUCAAAUCGUACCCCAAACCGACACAGGUGGUCAGGUAGAGAAUACCAAGGCGCUUGAGAGAACUCGGGUGAAGGAACUAGGCAAAAUGGUGCCGUAACUUCGGGAGAAGGCACGCUGAUAUGUAGGUGAAGUCCCUCGCGGAUGGAGCUGAAAUCAGUCGAAGAUACCAGCUGGCUGCAACUGUUUAUUAAAAACACAGCACUGUGCAAACACGAAAGUGGACGUAUACGGUGUGACGCCUGCCCGGUGCCGGAAGGUUAAUUGAUGGGGUUAGCGCAAGCGAAGCUCUUGAUCGAAGCCCCGGUAAACGGCGGCCGUAACUAUAACGGUCCUAAGGUAGCGAAAUUCCUUGUCGGGUAAGUUCCGACCUGCACGAAUGGCGUAAUGAUGGCCAGGCUGUCUCCACCCGAGACUCAGUGAAAUUGAACUCGCUGUGAAGAUGCAGUGUACCCGCGGCAAGACGGAAAGACCCCGUGAACCUUUACUAUAGCUUGACACUGAACAUUGAGCCUUGAUGUGUAGGAUAGGUGGGAGGCUUUGAAGUGUGGACGCCAGUCUGCAUGGAGCCGACCUUGAAAUACCACCCUUUAAUGUUUGAUGUUCUAACGUUGACCCGUAAUCCGGGUUGCGGACAGUGUCUGGUGGGUAGUUUGACUGGGGCGGUCUCCUCCUAAAGAGUAACGGAGGAGCACGAAGGUUGGCUAAUCCUGGUCGGACAUCAGGAGGUUAGUGCAAUGGCAUAAGCCAGCUUGACUGCGAGCGUGACGGCGCGAGCAGGUGCGAAAGCAGGUCAUAGUGAUCCGGUGGUUCUGAAUGGAAGGGCCAUCGCUCAACGGAUAAAAGGUACUCCGGGGAUAACAGGCUGAUACCGCCCAAGAGUUCAUAUCGACGGCGGUGUUUGGCACCUCGAUGUCGGCUCAUCACAUCCUGGGGCUGAAGUAGGUCCCAAGGGUAUGGCUGUUCGCCAUUUAAAGUGGUACGCGAGCUGGGUUUAGAACGUCGUGAGACAGUUCGGUCCCUAUCUGCCGUGGGCGCUGGAGAACUGAGGGGGGCUGCUCCUAGUACGAGAGGACCGGAGUGGACGCAUCACUGGUGUUCGGGUUGUCAUGCCAAUGGCACUGCCCGGUAGCUAAAUGCGGAAGAGAUAAGUGCUGAAAGCAUCUAAGCACGAAACUUGCCCCGAGAUGAGUUCUCCCUGACUCCUUGAGAGUCCUGAAGGAACGUUGAAGACGACGACGUUGAUAGGCCGGGUGUGUAAGCGCAGCGAUGCGUUGAGCUAACCGGUACUAAUGAACCGUGAGGCUUAACCUUACAACGCCGAAGGUGUUU